ACUAACUUCCCUGAUUAUAUACACAUGGGAUAUUUCUUAUCAGUUAUCAGACCCAACCUCCUUUCCAAUUGUUCCAAUACUCAUGGCUUUUUACAUCUUCAAAAUCAAAGCUUUCCCAUUUCCAAAGCCCCUAUUCCUCUUUUAUCUCUUAAUCAUCACUAGUUUCUUCUCUGUACCAAGCCCAUUUACGAGUGCUUUAAACUUCAGUUUCCCCAAUUUCACUCGUGAUGACUCCCGUAUAAGAUAUCACGGAGCUUUUCCUGAAGACGAAGUCAUCCAACUCACCGGCGACUCAUAUACGGUCAGUUCAGGGCUUCAAGGUCGGGCCACGUAUUUCAAUCCCAUGCACCUGUGGGACAAGGCAUCCGGAAACCUCACAGAUUUCACUACCCACUUUAUCUUUGCCAUUGAUUCUCAAAACAAAACUAAUUAUGGAGACGGGUUUGCCUUCUUCCUAGCUCCUACUGGUUCAACAAUUCCUAUUUAUAAUGUCAAAGAAGGUGCCACUAUGGGUCUUGCUAAGGAUGACCUGGUACUAAACUCGACGGACAAUCCUUUUUUUGCGGUGGAGUUUGAUAUCUAUCCGAACGAACCAUGGGAUCCACCAGGCGAACAUGUAGGUAUCGAUAUAAACUCCAUGAAAUCUGUUGCUAAUGUGUCAUGGCGGGGGGGUAAUUAUUCUACUCUUGAAGGGAGAAUUAAUGAAGCUCGGAUUAGUUAUGAUUCUACUUCUCAUAAUUUGAGUGUUCUCUUCACUGGUCUCAUAAACAAUGCAACUGUUUGGCAAUCCCUUUAUUAUAUUGUUGAUUUGAGAGAUCACUUACCUGAAUGGGUAACUUUUGGAUUCUCAGCCGCAACAGGAAAUACUUCUGCAAUGCAUACCAUUCACACAUGGGAUUUUAGUUCAACUUUGGUAGAUACUGUAGCCGAACCACCAGUGGCAGGCAAUAUGAGUCGGAAUCCGGCCCCCAACCGAAACAAACACAAGAGGUUAGGAUUAGCCGUGGGGUUGGGUGGUGGUGGAUCUUUUCUGCUCGGUGGGUUUGCUUUAAUUCUAUUUUGCUUUUGGAAGAGGAAUAGGAGGGACACAGAAGAGGAUCUCGCCUUUGAUAGGUGCAUGGAUGAAGAAUUUCAAAGGGAAACAGGACCCAACAAGUUUUCAUUUUAUGAAUUGGCUCGUGCCACCAAUAAUUUUAGUGAUGAAGAAAAGCUAGGCCAGGGAGGAUUUGGUGGAGUUUACAGAGGAUUUUUACGGGACUCAAAUUCCUACGUUGCUGUCAAGAGGGUAUCAAAAGGGUCUAAACAGGGGAUAAAAGAGUAUGCCUCAGAAGUAAAAAUUAUUAGUCAACUGAGACAUAAAAAUUUGGUGCCACUCAUUGGCUGGUGCCAUGAAAGAGGAGAACUCUUACUUGUCUAUGAGUUCAUGCCCAAUGGAAGCUUAGAUUCACAUUUUUUUACUGAAGAAAGCUUAUUGUUAUGGGCAAUAAGGUACAAAGUUGCUCAAGGAUUGGCGUCGGCAUUGCUAUACUUGCACGAGGAAUGGGAACAAUGUGUGGUGCAUAGGGAUAUAAAAUCAAGCAACGUUAUGCUUGAUUCAAACUUUAAUACUAAACUUGGGGAUUUUGGGCUAGCUAGGCUUGUGGACCAUGUGAAAGGGUCACAAACCACUGUAUUGGCAGGCACCAUGGGCUACAUGGAUCCUGAAUGUGUCACAACCGGUAAGGCCAGCAAAGAGUCAGAUGUAUAUAGUUUCGGAAUUGUCGCUUUGGAGAUUUGUUGUGGAAGAAAACCAAUCAAGCCCGAUGCCCCUGAAGAUCAAGUAGUCAUGGUGGAGUGGGUUUGGGAGCUCUAUCGAAUAGGAAAAGUACUUGAAGCAGUUGACCCAAGGCUGAGUGGAGAUUUUGAUGAGCAGCAAAUGGAGCGCUUGAUGAUUGUCGGGCUUUGGUGCGCUCACCCUGAUCGAAACUUUAGGCCAUCAAUUAGGCAAACAAUUCAUGUUCUAAAUUUUGAGGCUCCAUUGCCUAUUCUCCCAUCUAAUAUGCCGGCCUAUUCUCCCACCUAAUAUGCCGGGGACAACACCUCUUGCCCAGGUAGUGAACAGACAUUCAAUGGCACUUUCUAUGUCUAGUAUUGUUACUGAUUAUGAGGAAGGACGAAAUCCAUUUUCAAGUGAUAGAUACACCAAUUCCUCACUAUACGUUGCAGCUUCUCCAUCUGGAUCGCUUUUGCAUGAGUGCUAAAUUGGUCAAAGAUCUGAUUGCUCUGCACCAAGAAUCUCACAAAUACAUUCUGGAGGUUCAUUUUGCCGGACCCUAUCCAUACUACUCUUCGUAGCUAGAGGGGUUAAUACAUGAGCCGCAUUGUUGAUCUCCCUACGAACAAACUUCAUCUCCCAGCAAGGAA